UGUCCAUAUCAUGUUGAAACAUUGGUUCCUAUUUGAUCACCCAAAUAAAGCAAUGUUGAGCCUGGUCAGUACCUAGAUGAGUGACCACUUGGGAAUACCAUGUUCUGUAA